rnacentral:rRNA from 1 species
AGGACGAACGCUGGCGGCGUGCUUAACACAUGCAAGUCGAACGGAAAGGCCCUUUCGGGGGUACUCGAGUGGCGAACGGGUGAGUAACACGUGGGUGAUCUGCCCUGCACUUCGGGAUAAGCUUGGGAAACUGAGUCUAAUACCGGAUAUGACCAUGGGAUGCAUGUCUUGUGGUGGAAAGCUUUUGCGGUGUGGGAUGGGCCCGCGGCCUAUCAGCUUGUUGGUGGGGUGAUGGCCUACCAAGGCGACGACGGGUAGCCGGCCUGAGAGGGUGUCCGGCCACACUGGGACUGAGAUACGGCCCAGACUCCUACGGGAGGCAGCAGUGGGGAAUAUUGCACAAUGGGCGCAAGCCUGAUGCAGCGACGCCGCGUGGGGGAUGACGGCCUCGGGUUGUAAACCUCUUUCAGUAGGGACGAAGCGCAAGUGACGGUACCUACAGAAGAAGCACCGGCCAACUACGCGCCAGCAGCCGCGGU